GUUACUUAGUAGCUUUAAUGAGUGCCCUCUUUAUUCUAUAGGCAGUAGUGUCAGUUAGUAAUUGUUAUUUGAUAACGGUGGGGAAAGAUAUUGGGUUUAUAUUUCUGGUAUUUACUUAGUAUAAACUUGUAAAAGUUUUAAUUUUCCAUGCAUAUGAUUUUUGUUGAUUUCAUUAUUAUUUCUAGGUAACGUUUCAUUUUUAGGUCAUUCCUCAUUACAAGAUGUAGAAGCAAACCACCCAGCAUACUUUCAGCUCUCUCAUUCUGUUGACGGGAAUCUUCUAUCAACUGUUAGCGAGGUUUCUAAUAGUAAAAGCACAGUUGAUACUA